rnacentral:rRNA from 1 species
UACGAAGUGGGCUAGCGUUGUUCGGAAUUCCUGUGCGUAACGGGCGCGUAGGCGGUACUUCAAGUCAGGCGUGAAAGCCCCGGGCUCAACCUGGGAACCGCGCUUGAGACUGGAGAACUAGAGUUCGGGAGAGGAUGGUGGAAUUCCCAGUGUAGAGGUGAAAUUCGUAGAUAUUGGGAAGAACACCGAUGGCGAAGGCAGCCAUCUGGACCGACACUGACGCUGAGGCGCGAAAGCGUGGGGAGCGAACAGG